UUGUCUUCUGUUGCCAUCACGUUAUGGUGGGCACUCUGAAGAGACUGCCGGUGACAAACCGGAGGAAGGUGGGGAUGACGUCAAGUCCGCAUGGCCUUUAUGUCUGGGGCCACACACGUGCUACAAUGGCCGACACAAACCGUCGCGAUACCGCAAGGUGGAGCUAAUCGGACAAAGUCGGUCUCAGUUCGGAUUGCAGGCUGCAACUCGCCUGCAUGAAGUUGGAAUCGCUAGUAAUCGCGGAUCAGCACGCCGCGGUGAAUACGUUCCCGGGCCUUGUACACACCGCCCGUCACAUCACGAAAGCUGGCUGUACUAGAAGUCGCUGCGCUAACCCGCAAGGGAGGCAGGCGCCUAAGGUAUGGUUAG
rnacentral:rRNA from 1 species